rnacentral:rRNA from 1 species
AACGUAGGUGGCGAGCGUUAUCCGGAAUUACUGGGCGUAAAGCGUGCGCAGGCGGUUUGCUAAGAGAGAUGUGAAAUCCCCGGGCUUAACCUGGGAACUGCGUUUGUGACUGGCAGGCUAGAGUAUGGCAGAGGGGGGUGGAAUUCCACGUGUAGCAGUGAAAUGCGUAGAUAUCAGGAGGAACACCGGUGGCGAAGGCGCUCAUCUGGCCCAAUACUGACGCUGAGGCGCGAAAGCUAGGGGAGCAAACGGG